UACGUAGGUCCCGAGCGUUAUCCGGAAUUAUUGGGCGUAAAGAGCAUGUAGGCGGUUUAUUAAGUUUGGUGUGAAAGCUAGUGGCUCAACCACUAAAUUGCAUUGAAAACUGAUAAACUAGAAUACUGGAGGGGCAAGUGGAAUUCCAUGUGUAGCGGUGGAAUGCGUAGAUAUAUGGAGGAACACCAAUGGCGAAGGCAGCUUGCUGGACAGAGAUUGACGCUGAGAUGCGAAAGCGUGGGUAGCAAACAGG
rnacentral:rRNA from 1 species